rnacentral:rRNA from 1 species
UACGGGGGGGGCAAGCGUUGUUCGGAAUUACUGGGCGUAAAGGGCUCGUAGGCGGCCAACUAAGUCAGACGUGAAAUCCCUCGGCUUAACCGGGGAACUGCGUCUGAUACUGGGUGGCUAGAGGUUGGGAGAGGGAUGCGGAAUUCCAGGUGUAGCGGUGAAAUGCGUAGAUAUCUGGAGGAACACCGGUGGCGAAGGCGGCAUCCUGGACCAAUUCUGACGCUGAGGAGCGAAAGCCAGGGGAGCAAACGGG